rnacentral:lncRNA from 1 species
CAGCUUGUAAUUGUGUAGCUCAAUCCAUUUAAGUAAUUACAAUAUUAUAUGAGAGAAAUAAGAUAAACUUCAUUAACAAUAAAAGUUCAUAAAAAAAAAAAAACUAGACAUAAGCAAAAAUGUCACCCGCAAUAUCAUAUGAGUACCCAUUCCCCUAAGAUAAUAUAAACCCUCUAUGAAGCCUCUAUGACGCUACGAAUAAAGUAAUAAAGUUACGGAGCUUGUCCACACUAUAAAAAUAUAUACAACUGAAAUAUUGUGGUCCCACGAGUACGAAGGUGGGCUCACCAAAAGAGAGGAAACUGUGGGAACUCUAGUAUGUGCGCUGACCGCCUUGCACUCGACUGUCUGCUAAACCUGACACCAUUUAAACAAACGAUGCUUGAGUAUUAAAAUUCUCAGAUAUGCGUCAUAGCCGCCACUAAUGUUGGUAUAAGAGUUAUACAAAUUAUAAUCUAUAUAAUAAGGCAAAAGAUAAAUAAUCUCGAAUAAAUUAAGGAAGAUAAGGUACAUAGAAUCACAAUAAAGGAUAAAUUUGCAAGAAUAAUAAUUUAAGUUUUAUUCAUUUAGACCUCUUUCAUAGGUCCAAUAUCUCAUUAGUAUCGUCCUCAUUAUCUAGUAUCUCAAUAUCAAUGGCAUACAUAGUGUUGGAAUACAUCGGGAUGCUAUCCACGAAUAUUGUCGUACCAUCCCCAAAAGGUUAGGCCAAUGUGUACAGUCAAGGAUCCAAGAAGGUUGUCGUACCACUCCCGCACAGCUAGACAAGGCAUAUAUUUUUUAUUUCAUCAUUUUUUCUUUUAAUGGACAUCAGCCGAAAAUUACGUUGUUAUGUAAUACAUCAAGGAUCCAAAAAGGUUGUCGCACCGCUCCCGCACAGCUAGACAAGACACAUUUUUUUAUUUAUUCAUCUUUGUCCAAACCAAGAGUAGGCCAUGAAAGCCUAUCCCUAAUGUACACGGAAUAUCAUCCAACUAUAAUUCGAAGCCAAGAGUAAAUUUGAUAAUACACAAGUAACUAGGAGCUCGACAUACCUUGAAGUCGCUCUAAGUUAGCUAAAGCUCGCCUCGAUAGAGUUCAAUCUACAUAAUAUAUCAUAUAUGGGUAGUGAGUUAAUACUCAAAACAUCCUAAAAUCCCCAAAUAUUUUAACCCAAGAUUGACUUAUUUCAAGAUUCACCCCAAACAAGAAUCCCUAGGUCCCUAAAUUCUUAAAAUUAAUUCUUAUAUGUGGUCUAUAUCACAAACUAUAUAUACUAAAUAAUUUCUCUUAUANANNNNNNNNNNNNNNNNNNNNCUCUUGGUGUGACUCGAACUCACAACCUCUUAGUUGGAAGUGGAGGGUGCUUACCAUCAGAGCAAAUACCUUACAGAGAAACUAGAGAUGAUUUUCGAUCUCUUACUGUUACUGCCACUUGAUCUUUAAGAACUUGAUCGAUUGUAAAACUUUCACUUUAUCCAAGCCCCUCCUUCGUAUUUCCAGUAGCUAAAAGGGGAGAAUGCCUACCUUAGCGUCAAGGAGAAGCCAAAAGAAGGUCUUGGUUCUCUCUCCCUUAUUUUAUAUUUAUGUAAGUUGUACCCCUCUUUCUU